UACGGAGGGUGCAAGCGUUGUCCGGAAUCAUUGGGCGUAAAGAGUUCGUAGGUGGCAUGUAAAGUCUGGUGUUAAAUGCAGAAGCUCAACUUCUGUUCGGCACUGGAUACUUGCAAGCUAGAAUGCGGUAGAGGUAAAGGGAAUUCCUGGUGUAGCGGUGAAAUGCGUAGAUAUCAGGAGGAACAUCGGUGGCGUAAGCGCUUUACUGGGCCGUAAUUGACACUGAGGAACGAAAGCCGGGGUAGCAA
rnacentral:rRNA from 1 species